rnacentral:lncRNA from 1 species
CUCUCUAUAUUGUCGAACGUAUUCUUGUGAGUAUAUUUUGAGUGUUGCUAUACGGUGCGAGUUUCUGUCAGCACUAUACCGAAAUUCAGUCAGAAGUACGGUUAUUUUGAGGUAAGGGAUGUUAUUUCUUUCGCAAAUGAUAUUAUUUUCUUCAAUAUCAUUAUGCCAAAAUCUUUGUUGAACUUUUUUUCAAAUUUGGAACUUGUUGUGUUGGGGUUACUAUUCA